GUGAAAGCAAAUAUACACAAAUACUGGCAUUUGAUCGCUGAUGCAUCAAAGGUUUAUUACACAUAUCACGGAAAUAUCUCACAGUAGAUACGGUGAUCUGAACUGAAUAAGAACAUGCAGAGUGGAUCUUCACCUCCACAUUGUAAUUUGGUCCUGCUCGGACAGGUUGGAGCAGGAAAGAGCUGCACAGGAAAUACAAUCCUGGGACAAAGAAUAUUUCAUUCAAAAAAAAGUUUAAAUGCAGUAACACGAGAUAUUCAAAGAGCCUCUGUGACUGUUAGUGGCCUCAGUGUGGAUGUUUAUGACACCCCUGGGUUUUUAGGUCCUGGGGUUCAGAGUGGACAGAUUGAGCGAAAAUGCCAGAAGCUUCUGCAGUUAAAUUCUUCAGCCCCCACUGUGUUUCUGUUGGUGAUCAGCACUGACAGAUUUGCAGAACAAGAGAAGAAAGCUACUGAUUUAGUUUUGAGUUUUUUAGGGAGCAGUAAUUUGCAGAACACCUUUAUUAUCUUCACUAAAGAUGAUGAACUGGAAAGCAAUGAACUCACCAUUGAACAGUACAUGGAGGACUCAGAAGAGCUCAGCGCAUUAGUCCACAGACUGAACAAUCAGUAUCUGGUUUUUAACAACAAUGGAGAUCCAAAUAACCGGGAGCAGGCUGAAGAACUUAUCAAAAAAAUUGCAGAAACGAACAAAUGUAUUUCUCAAAACCAGCUGAGUCCCAUAGCACAGCAGAACCAUCUGGUGAGUUCAUCUUUGAACACAAUAUUUCACACUUUACAAUAAAAUUCAGUGAUUAAAGUAACUUAAUGCAUAUAUUAACAUGAUUUUUUCUGGCAUGAACUUAAAAUUAACAAUACAUUUAUUAGAAUAUUAAAACAUCUGUGCAAACAUUAGUUAAAGAAAUUAAAGUUGUUCCAUGUUCUUGUUAAAUCAGUGCAUUAACUAAUGUUGGCAAGCACAAUUAGAUUUUUAUGAUGCAUGAGUAAAUGC